rnacentral:rRNA from 1 species
AUUGAACGCUGGCGGCAGGCCUAACACAUGCAAGUCGAGCGAGCGGCGGACGGGUGAGUAAUGUCUGGGAAACUGCCUGAUGGAGGGGGAUAACUACUGGAAACGGUAGCUAAUACCGCAUCCCCUCAGAUUUGCCCAGAUGGGAUUAGCUGGUAGGUGGGGUAGCGGCUCACCUGGGCGACGAUCCCUAGCUGGUCUGAGAGGAUGACCAGCCACACGGGAACUGAGACACGGUCCAGACUCCGACGGGAGGCAGCAGUGGGGAAUAUUGCACAAUGGGCGCAAGCCUGAUGCAGCCAUGCCGCGUGUGUGAAGAAGGCCUUCGGGUGGUAAAGCACUUUCAGCGGGGAGGCGUUACCCGCAGAAGAAGCACCGGCUAACUCCGUGCCAGCAGCCGCGGUAAUAC